rnacentral:rRNA from 5 species
CUAAUACAUGCUAAAAAUCCCGACUUCGGAAGGGAUGUAUUUAUUAGAUUAAAAACCAAUGCCCUUCGGGGCUCACUGGUGAUUCAUAAUAACUUCUCGAAUCGCAUGGCCUUGCGCCGGCGAUGGUUCAUUCAAAUUUCUGCCCUAUCAACUUUCGACGGCUGGGUCUUGGCCAGCCAUGGUGACAACGGGUAACGGAGGGUUAGGGCUCGACCCCGGAGAAGGAGCCUGAGAGACGGCUACUACAUCCAAGGAAGGCAGCAGGCGCGCAAAUUACCCAAUCCCGACACGGGGAGGUAGUGACAAUAAAUACUGAUACAGGGC